UUUGCAUCCGUUGGUUGAUGUUCUUAUAAUAUGAAUCCAUGAUUCCUCUUCUUAUCAUUCGAAUCCAUUGAUUUAUGUUCUUACCAUUUGCAUCCGUUUGUUGAUGUUCUUAUAAUAUGAAUCCAUGAUUCUUGUUCUUGUCAUUUGAAUCCAUUGGUUUAUGUUCUUACCAUUUGCAUCCGUUUGUUGAUGUUCUUAUAAUAUUGAUCAAUUGGCAGCGCAGUGGGUUAAACCCUUGUGUCAGCAGGACUGCUGACCGAAAGGUCGGUGGUUCAAAUCCAGGGUGAGCUCCCAUCUGUCAGCUCCAGCUUCUACUGCAGGGACAUGAGAGAAGCCUCCCACAGGAUGGCAAAACACCCAGGUAUCUCCUGGGCAACGUCCUUGCAGACGGCCAGUUCUCUCACACCAGAAGCGACUAGGAGCCCCCAGCGGUGCAGUGGGUUAAACCCUUGUGCCAGCAGGACUGCUGACCAGAAGGUUGCCAGUUCGAAUCCAACCUGGGGAGAAGCGGAUGAGCUUCCUCUCUCAGCUCCCACAAGGAUGGUAAAACAUCAAAACAUCUAGGCAUCCCUUAGGCAACAUCCUUGCAGAUGGCCAAUUCUCUCACACCAGAAGCGACUUGCAGUUUCUCAAGUCGCUCCUGACACGAAAAAAUAUUUGAAUCCAUUGGUUUAUGUUCUUACCAUUUGCAUCCAUUAGUUCAUGUUCUUAUCAUAUGAACCCACAGGGUCCUGUUUUUAUCAAAUAAUAAUAAUAAUAAGAAGAAUAUAUUUACUACCCACCUCUCCAUUGGCACAAAAAGGAGCUGGUUCCGUAUUCUACAUGACAUCCUUCUGAAUAUCGAAAGACCAAAUUCAUAUUCUCUCUCAGUCUCCUGCAGAACCCUAAGUCAUAAAAUGGAUUAUUUUGGAGUGACUUAUUUUUUUUUUUUUCGUAUCAGGAGCAACCGGAGUUGCUUCUGGAGUGAGAGAAUUGGCCGUCUGCAAGGACGUUGUCCAGGGGACGCCCAGAUGUUUUGAUGUUUUACCAUCCUUGUGGGAGGCUUCUCUCAUGUCCCCGCAUGGAAGCUGGAGCUGAUAGAGGGAGCUCAUCCGCGCUCUGCCCGGGUGGGAUUCGAACCUGGCAGCCUUCAGGUCAGCAACCCAACCUUCAAGUCACAAGGCUUUUAUCCCCUAGGCCACCGGAGGCUCCUAGUGACUUAAUGAAACUUUGAUAUAUUUUUUUGGAUUUUUUGGGAAUCUGUAUCAAUGCAAAAUCUUUGGAUCCUGCAGGGAGUCGUAGGUCUUGGGAGGCAAAAGGGGCCUCUCCUGGAAGCUGGCACUAGUCGGCACCCAUGCGCUGCUCCUGUUUCUGUUACGACUCUGAGAUUCAGCCGUAAAGAUGGCAUCCUUCUGGCAAAGCCAUCCUGGGAAGGAAGGAGGGGCCAGGAGGGCCUUCUUACGGUCAAUGAGCAGAAGAGGGAAAGUGGAAGCAACGGCUGCGGGAAGGAGAAGGGGAAAGAAGGGAUGGAGAUGGAGAAAGCCACUUUGGAUCCAGGGGAAGUGGCAUGAUUUUGGCAUCGACUUCCCGUCCUCUCUCUUAUUAAGACACCUUUAGGAUAGAAUCAUAGAAUCGUAGAGUUGGAAGAGACCUCAUGGGCCAUCCAGUCCAGCCCCCUGCAAGAAGCAGGAAAAUCUCAUUCAAAGCACCCCCACAGAUGGCCAUCCAGCCUCUGCUUAAAAGCUUCCAAAGAAGGAGCCUCCACCACAGUCUGGGGCAGAGAGUUCCACUGCCGAACAACUCUCACAGUGAGAAAGUUCUUCCUGAUGUUCAGGUGGAAGAACUUUCCUAAUCGCACCUAAUUGCUCCAUAGCCACAAUCCCCAUGUGGUCGCAAUCGUGGCAGAUGCUCUGAAAGAAAGCCAGAAAGAGAAGCAUAUUAUAUGGAACUGCACUUAGACAGGGGAGGGGGAGAUUAAAUGCAUCGAUAUAGAAUGUGGGACAGCAGUCCAUGCAAAAGGGACCUAGGGGUCUUAGCAGAAUUUAAGGUGAACAUGAAUCAAGAUACCCAAAGGCCAUCCAGUCCAACGCCCUUCUGCAAUGAAAAGCUUCACAUGAGCCAGCAGUGUGUUGCAGCAGCAAAAAAGGCCAACACCAUUCUGAGUGUUCUUACUGGGGCGGCUCAAGCGGCCCCAUGCAUUUGGAUCUGAGCCGUCUCCUUCCCAGACGGAUCCAUCCGGCCGCCAUGCGCUUGAUCCGACAUGUCAGUCUCGCAAAGGCGACAAUCCUUUCACUCCAGACUCCUGAUUUUGUAAUUAAAGCUUUUUAUUGCAAUCCCCGGGACAGGGAGAAGUGUCUCGAUGAGUGGAUCAACCCGUUCUGCAACCUGUCUGGAAUCCGAACCCAGUCCCCGCAUGCCGGGAUGUGCAGCGGAGGAGGGCUUGGCUGUAUGGGAAACCCCAAGGGGCAAAGGGUUCUUGCACAAGCCCCUUCCGGGAAGAAGAACGCUUGUCACCCUUUGAGAGCAUGAACUUGCACCGAGAGAUCACUUUUGGUGUGUCCCAAUUGCCUUCAAAAGACCUUAAGGGUUACAUCUUCCUUAAAGGACUAUUUUGCUGGAUAUGUUUCAAAGUCCAAGCCUGUUGCAAAAACCUUGGAGUCAAGAAGGAAAUGUUGCCACCACCCACGCCCUUGACUACUUGGCUGCCAUACACUUGCUUGGCUUAUUAGUAUUAGUUAGCUAUUGACUUUAUUUUGAUCCUGUCUUUCCCCCGAUACAAGGAUAGCGCAAUAAACAGGACACCUAUUUAUCAUGUUUAGAUUUUAACUAACCGAAUGUUGCAAAAAUGCUUACUCUUUACAUACUUGAGUGAUAACACUAUGUUACUUAUUAUUAUUAUUAUUAUUAUUAUUAUUAUUAUUAUUAUUAUUAUUAUUGACACAAAGUUAGAGUACUAUAUAUACAGUAGAGUCUCACUUAUCCAAGCCUCGCUUAUCCAAGUUUCUGGAUUAUUCAAGCUAUUUUUGUAGUCAAUGUUUUCAAUAUAUUGUGAUAUUUUGGUGCUAAAUUCGUAAAUACGGUAAUUACAACAUAACAUUACUGCGUAUUGAACUGCUUUUUCUGUCAAAUUUGUUGUAAAACAAGAUGUUUUGGUGCUUAAACGGGCUGCCGGCCCGUUUAGCUUGGAUAAGUGAGAUUCUACUGUAUUAUUUUUCUUUAUUAUUAUUGGUAUUGUUCCAUUUAUUAUUUUACUCUAUUAAUUAUUAUUAUUACACUUAUUAUUUUACUCUAUUAUUGUUACUUUUACAUUUAUUUUUAUUAUUAUUCAUACAUUUAUUAUUUUACUCUAUUUAUUAUUACCUUUAUUAUUUUACUGCAUGUAUUAUUAUAAUUAUUACAUUUAUUGUUUCACUCUAUUAUUAUUAAAAGGAUACAUAAGCACAUUUACAUUGAAGAAGAUGAAAAUAAUGACUUAAUCAGAGCUGAACAGUCAUAUCUUAAAUUACAGUUUGAUGUAAAGAUUCAAAAACAUUUAAACUACUGAUGCCUCAAUCAAUGUAAAUUUAUUAGUAUCUCGGCUUAUAUUGGAGUCAAUGUUUUCCCAGUUUUUUUGUGGUAAAAUUAGGUGCCUCGGCUUAUAUUCGGGUCGGCUUAUACUCGAGUAUAUACAGGUAUAUUGUUGUCA